rnacentral:rRNA from 1 species
UAAUUGAAGAGUUUGAUCAUGGCUCAGAUUGAACGCUGGCGGCAGGCCUAACACAUGCAAGUCGAGCGGCAGCACAGAGGAACUUGUUCCUUGGGUGGCGAGCGGCGGACGGGUGAG